GAUGAACGCUGGCGGCGUGCCUAAUACAUGCAAGUCGAGCGAACGGACGAGAAGCUUGCUUCUCUGAUGUUAGCGGCGGACGGGUGAGUAACACGUGGAUAACCUACCUAUAAGACUGGGAUAACUUCGGGAAACCGGAGAUAAUACCGGAUAAUAUUUUGAACCGCAUGGUUCAAAAGUGAAAGACGGUCUUGCUGUCACUUAUAGCUGGAUCCGCGCUGCAUUAGCUAGUUGGUAAGGUAACGGCUUACCAAGGCAACGAUGCAUAGCCGACCUGAGAGGGGGAUCGGCCACACUGGAACUGGGACACGUUCCAUGCUCCUACGGGAGGCAGCAGUAGGGAAUCUGCCGCAGUAGGCGAAAGCCUGGCGGAGCAACGCCGCGUGAGUGAUGAAAGUCUUCGGAUCGUAAAACUCUGUUAUUAGGGAAGAACAUAUGUGUAAGUAACUGUACACAUCUUGACGGUACCUAAUCAGAAAGCCACGGCUAACUACGUG
rnacentral:rRNA from 1 species